rnacentral:lncRNA from 1 species
CUUCUCUUUAGGUUUUGGUUUCGUAUCUUUGCCUGUACUCAGAUACUUCAUAGUGGCUGCAGCAUGCUUGAGAAUGCAGUCAUUGCUACAAUACACAGAAUCAGGCUGAGCCACAUUGAAACAGCCAGGACCAAUGCAUUUGGAAACACCAGGAGCGUCAACUACAGGUUGAAAUAUCUUGAGUUUUUUCUUCCCACUUGGAUUUGCAGCUUUUUCAAUCCUACCCUUGAUGCCUUGGUCCUCAACAGACUUGUGUUCAAUUGUUCCUAUGCUUGUGAAUUCUGUACCGUCCACAUUUACUUGCCCUGCUUUAGCUUCCUGCUGGUCUGUUUCUGAAAUAGACUCAUCCUGUCCCUGCAGAAUGGUGCAGUUUGGACAGAUAUAGUCCUCACCAUUCCUUUCCAAUAGCCGCCCUCGAGCCUCAGAAAUACCCACACAGUCACCAUGAAACCAUUCCUCACAUCUAUCACAACAAAUCAUGAACCUGUUGUUAUGAGGCUGACGACAAAUACAGUAUAGUGCAUUGGGGUCAUAAAUCUCAGACUCUGGUUUACUUUUGGGCAAUUCUUCAGUGUUUUCUUCAGACACAACAACCUGACUUGCAAUCUCAGUGUUAUCUACAAUGUCAGGCUCCUGUUUGACAGAUAAUUCAGUCUUAACUGGUUGAUCAGACUGGACAUUGUCUGUUUCCGCAGGAUCUUGCUCUGAAGUUCUUUUUCUCAAGCGAUUCUGCAUUUCUUUCAGUGUCAGUUGUGUAGGUUUCUGUUCAACGCGUUUGUUUCUCAGUCGGUUCUGCAGUUCCUUCAGUGUUAACCCAUCACUGUCACUGUCAGAGGUAUCUUCCUCCUCCUCCUCCUCUUCAUCUUCCUCCUCCUCUUCCUCUUUUGUGCGUCUGUUUUUAGAGCCUUUCUGAUCCUUACUACUCCUAGUGCCAGUCCUACGAGUUCCAGGCUUUAUAUCUGAAGCACUUUCAACACUAUCUUCUGAUGCAGUUUCAGCAUCUGUAGCUGGACAGGAUGCAGGUUCACUUGAAUCUUCCAAAGCAAUAGGAGCAUUUCUCCUCCCCCUGCGCCUUACUGUUGUAAGAAAUUCUUCCACUCUUUCUGUUCUCUUUGGUUGUCGCCCACUACGCCUGAGAUUUAAGCUUUGUUGCUGCUGUUGUGGCUGUUGUUCACUAGAGUCCAUAUCGAUGUCUCCAGCACCUUCUCUCUUGGCAAUAGUAGUCCUUCGAAACCCCCAAGUUUUCCUGAACUCUUUGCUUGUAGGCUUGAUAGAUUUUUGUUCCUCCUCAUUGCUUUGUUCACCUUUUUCAUCCAAAGCUGAUGCCGGGGAACUGUUUUCCAUGUUGUCAGUAUUAGAUUCAGAUUCCAUAGACACUGGCUGUAAGCUUACAGCUUGUUCCAUAGUACAGACACCACUCUCCCCACCUUGAAACACUGACACAGCAUUAGAGGUUUGAACAGUUUCUCCCUGUUGAGCUGAAUUAAAAGGAGAGCCAGAAGAGGGCAGCAAAGGAUCAGAGUCAUUCAGCAUUAUCCUUCC